rnacentral:tRNA from 1 species
GCGUGAGUAGUCCAGUGGUAAGACGCAACCCUGCCACGGUUGUGACCCGGGUUCGAAUCCCGGCUCACGCA